UUUCUUUCUUGGAUUUUAGGACAUGUUUGGUUGAGAGAGUUAGACUUUAGAAUGGAGAUGGAAAUAAAAAUAAGUGGUUUCCAUUCGGACCUUUUAGUUGAGGGAAGUUUCAUUUUCAUUGCGAUUCCUAUUCCAAUUUUGGUCACAAACAACAUAUAUUAGAAUAUAUAGCUAUUCUGAUUUCUAUUCAAAUCCAUUUCGAUCACAAAUCAAAUAUAUUUUUAAUUUAUUAAUUGAUCGGGCAUAGUGUAAAUGUGCAAUUUGCGUCAGAUAACUUCUCUAAUGGCAUACAUCAUCACUAAUAUAGUUGAUACGC
rnacentral:lncRNA from 1 species